rnacentral:tRNA from 1 species
UGCCGCUUUAGCUCAUCUGGUAGAGCAACUGACUUGUAAUCAGUAGGUGGUUGGUUCGAGUCCGACAAGCGGCACCAC